CCUACGGGUGGCAGCAGUGAGGAAUAUUGGUCAAUGGACGAGAGUCUGAACCAGCCAAGUAGCGUGAAGGAUGACUGCCCUAUGGGUUGUAAACUUCUUUUAUAUGGGAAUAAAAUGUUCCACGUGUGGGAUUUUGUAUGUACCAUAUGAAUAAGGAUCGGCUAACUCCGUGCCAGCAGCCGAGGUAAUACGGAGGAUCCGAGCGUUAUCCGGAUUUAUUGGGUUUAAAGGGAGCGUGGGUGGAUUGUUAAGUCAGUUGUGAAAGUUUGCGUCUCAACCGUAAAAUUGCAGCUGAAACUGGCAGUCUUGAGUACAGUAGAGGUGGGCGGAAUUCGUGGUGUAGCGGUGAAAUGCUUAGAUAUCACGAAGAACUCCGAUUGCGAAGGCAGUUCACUGGACUGCAACUGACACUGAGGCUCGAAAGUGUGGGUAUCAAACAGGAUUAGAUACCCUUGUAGUC
rnacentral:rRNA from 1 species